CAGAUUGAACGCUGGCGGCAGGCCUAACACAUGCAAGUCGAGCGGAAACGAUGGAAGCUUGCUUCCAGGCGUCGAGCGGCGGACGGGUGAGUAAUGCAUAGGAAUCUGCCCGGUAGUGGGGGAUAACCUGGGGAAACCCAGGCUAAUACCGCAUACGUCCUACGGGAGAAAGCAGGGGAUCUUCGGACCUUGCGCUAUCGGAUGAGCCUAUGUCGGAUUAGCUUGUUGGUGAGGUAACGGCUCACCAAGGCCGCGAUCCGUAGCUGGUCUGAGAGGAUGAUCAGCCACAUCGGGACUGAGACACGGCCCGAACUCCUACGGGAGGCAGCAGUGGGGAAUAUUGGACAAUGGGCGAAAGCCUGAUCCAGCCAUGCCGCGUGUGUGAAGAAGGCCCUCGGGUUGUAAAGCACUUUCAGUGAGGAAGAACGCUUGUGGGUUAAUACCCUGCAAGGAAGACAUCACUCACAGAAGAAGCACCGGCUAACUCCGUGCCAGCAGCCGCGGUAAUACGGAGGGUGCGAGCGUUAAUCGGAAUUACUGGGCGUAAAGCGCGCGUAGGCGGCUUGAUAAGCCGGUUGUGAAAGCCCCGGGCUCAACCUGGGAACGGCAUCCGGAACUGUCAGGCUAGAGUGCAGGAGAGGAAGGUAGAAUUCCCGGUGUAGCGGUGAAAUGCGUAGAGAUCGGGAGGAAUACCAGUGGCGAAGGCGGCCUUCUGGACUGACACUGACGCUGAGGUGCGAAAGCGUGGGUAGCAAACAGGAUUAGAUACCCUGGUAGUCCACGCCGUAAACGAUGUCGACUAGCCGUUGGGGUCCUCGAGACCUUUGUGGCGCAGUUAACGCGAUAAGUCGACCGCCUG
rnacentral:rRNA from 1 species